GACGAACGCUGGCGGCGUGCUUAACACAUGCGAGUCGAACGGAAAGGCCCUGCUUGCAGGGUACUCGAGUGGCGAACGGGUGAGUAACACGUGGGUGAUCUGCCCUGCACUUCGGGAUAAGCCUGGGAAACUGGGUCUAAUACCGGAUAGGAGCCAUUUUUAGUGUGAUGGUUGGAAAGUUUUUUCGGUGUAGGAUGAGCUCGCGGCCUAUCAGCUUGUUGGUGGGGUAAUGGCCUACCAAGGCGGCGACGGGUAGCCGGCCUGAGAGGGUGGACGGCCACAUGAGGGCGGCGAUGGGGCGCCGGCGCGUAGGGGAGGGAGCGGGGGGGAGUAUUGCAGCGUGGGCUAGCGGCUGAGGAAGCGGCGGGGGGUGGGGGAGGAGGGUGGUGGGGUUCUACACCCCGGCAGGUCGGGGCGAAGUUUUUGGUGACAGUAACUAGAAAAGAAGAACCGGCUAACUACGCGCCAGACGCGGCGGGAUCGUCGGACAGAAAUCCUCUGAAC
rnacentral:rRNA from 1 species